rnacentral:rRNA from 1 species
GGGGGGGGGGGGGGGGGGUUUUUUUUUUAGGUUUUUAACACGCUCAGAUUGAAUUGCUAGCCGGGGGUGUUUACACAUGCAAGUCGUAGCGGCAAGGCCCAGAGAGCUUGCUCUCUUGGCGGCGAGUGGCGGACUGGGUGAGUAAUAUAUCGGAACGUGCCCAGUAGCGGGGGAUAACUACUCGAAAGAGUGGCUAAUACCGCAUACGCCCUACGGGGGAAAGGGGGGGAUCGCAAGACCUCUCACUAUUGGAGCGGCCGAUAUCGGAUUAGCUAGUUGCUGGGGUAAUGGCUCACCAAGGCAACGAUCGGUAGCUCGUUUGAGAGGACGACCAGCCACACUGGGAGUGAGACACGCCCCAGACUCCUACGGGAGGCAGCAGUGGGGAAUUUUGGACAAUGGGGGAAACCCUGAUCCAGCCAUCCCGCGUGUAUGAUGAAGGCCUUCGGGUUGUAAAGUACUUUUGGCAGAGAAGAAAAGGUAUCCCCUAAUACGGGAUGCUGCUGACGGUAUCUGCAGAAUAAGCACCGGCUAACUACGUGCCAGCAGCCGCGGUAAUACGUAGGGUGCAAGCGUUAAUCGGAAUUACUGGGCGUAAAGCGUGUGUAGGCGGUUCGGAAAGAAAGAUGUGAAAUCCCAGGGCUCAACCUUGGAACUGCAUUUUUAACUGCCGAGCUAGAGUAUGUCAGAGGGGGGUAGAAUUCCACGUGUAGCAGUGAAAUGCGUAGAUAUGUGGAGGAAUACCGAUGGCGAAGGCAGCCCCCUGGGAUAAUACUGACGCUCAAACACGAAAGCGUGGGGAGCAAACAGGAUUAGAUACCCUGGUAGUCCACGCCCUAAACGAUGUCAACUAACUGUUGGGGCCGUUAGGCCUUAGUAGCGCAGCUAACGCGUGAAGUUGACCGCCUGGGGAGUACGGUCGCAAGAUUAAAACUCAAAGGAAUUGACGGGGACCCGCACAAGCGGUGGAUGAUGUGGAUUAAUUCGAUGCAACGCGAAAAACCUUACCUACCCUUGACAUGUCUGGAAAGCCGAAGAGAUUUGGCCGUGCUCGCAAGAGAACCGGAACACAGGUGCUGCAUGGCUGUCGUCAGCUCGUGUCGUGAGAUGUUGGGUUAAGUCCCGCAACGAGCGCAACCCUUGUCAUUAGUUGCUACGCAAGAGCACUCUAAUGAGACUGCCGGUGACAAACCGGAGGAAGGUGGGGAUGACGUCAAGUCCUCAUGGCCCUUAUGGGUAGGGCUUCACACGUCAUACAAUGGUCGGGACAGAGGGUCGCCAACCCGCGAGGGGGAGCCAAUCUCAGAAACCCGAUCGUAGUCCGGAUCGCAGUCUGCAACUCGACUGCGUGAAGUCGGAAUCGCUAGUAAUGGCGGAUCAGAAUGUCGCGGUGAAUACGUUCCCGGGUCUUGUACACACCGCCCGUCACACCAUGGGAGUGGGUUUCACCAGAAGUAGGUAGCCUAACCGUAAGGAGGGCGCUUACCACGGUGGGAUUCUGAUGGGGGGAAAUCUAGAAAAAACCCCCCCCAAAAAAAAAAAAGCGGGGAAAAAAAAAAA